rnacentral:rRNA from 1 species
AAACUGAAGAGUUUGAUCCUGGCUCAGAUUGAACGCUGGCGGUAUGCUUAACACAUGCAAGUCGAACGGUAACAGGCCCAGCUUGCUGGGUGCUGACGAGUGGCGGACGGGUGAGUAACGCGUAGGAAUCUGCCCAGUAGUGGGGGAUAACCUGGGGAAACUCAGGCUAAUACCGCAUAUGCCCCAAGGGGUAAAGGCUUCGGCCGCUAUUGGAUGAGCCUGCGUCGGAUUAGCUAGUUGGUGGGGUAAUGGCCUACCAAGGCGACGAUCCGUAGCUGGUUUGAGAGAACGACCAGCCACACUGGGACUGAGACACGGCCCAGACUCCUACGGGAGGCAGCAGUGGGGAAUCUUGGACAAUGGGCGAAAGCCUGAUCCAGC